rnacentral:tRNA from 1 species
GGGCCCGUAGCUCAGCCUGGUGGAGCGCUCGGCUGAUAACCGAGAGGUCGUGGGUUCGAAUCCCACCGGGCCCA